UUUUUUUUUUUUUUUUUUUGUAAAGUGAUGGAUCUAAAUGUCCCCUUACAAAUUAAACACCUAAUAAUUAUCUUAGUUUUUCUCUUUCCCUGAAAAGUGGACGAUGUAUAGAUAGAAUGCAUCCACGAGACCACGAGAAUGUACAGUAGUCCAAAUUCAACAUCAGAAAGAUAAGUAUGCAUGAAGAAACUCACGAUUUGGUAGCAGCAUAAAGUGCGUAAAGAGGCAUAGAAGGACUCUCAGAAGCAGCAGAACCAAUAUUGACAAUUGCUCCUUUCUUCUUCUUCAGCAUACCUGGAAGGACUGCCUUAGUUACCCAACUUGGUGCUUCCAUGUUCACCUUUAACAUAUUCUCCAUCAGCUCCUGAUCAACCUCAUGAAAGUACCUUGCAUAAGGGUAACUGAUCCCUGCAUUAUUUAUCAAAAUGCCAACAUCAAGACCUUUGAUUCCAUCCUCUAUGAUCCUAGCUAUCUCUCCUCCAGUAGCUUUGGCCAAGUCGACGACAAUGCUCUUGGUUUCCACUUUUGGAUCACUGAAUUGCUCGCGGAUUUCAUUGGAGGUUGCUUCGAGCUUCGAAGGGUUUCGACCAACCAAGACGAUGUUGAGACCCUUGGAAGCCAGUUCAAAGGCAAGGGCCUUGCCAAUCCCAUCAGUGGAGCCGGUGAUGAUGACCCAAGAUCCAUAAUCCUUGAGAUUCUUGGGAGGUCUCAGAAACAUGACCCAAAUCCAUGUCACAAUCUUGAACAGAGCCUUGCAAACAGAGAACAAGCCUAGACAACUUGCUGCGACAACGAAAGCUUCUUGCAAUUCCAUUUCCCAAUAUUAUUGAAAUCUUAUAUUAUUGCCCAAUAUAAGCUGCAAACAAAUUGGGAGAGCGGGAUCUGUUUCUCGAAAGAGAAAUUAACUAAAAUUUUCACUUCAGAAAACUAAAUUUUUCACUUAAAUAGCAAGUGGGCUUCUGGAGAAGACCAAAAGGGACUUCAUUUUAAGAGAUCCAUCGGUUGUUAGUUGCAAAUACACGUAGCGUUUAGACUUGUCAUAUGAGCUAGGCAGAGUGUGUAUCCCUAUUGGCAUUGAAGAAAUCGAACACAAGUUAAUAAGAGUAAUGAUAAGCCGCCUAAAACCCACUUUAGUGUUACAUAAGAAUGACUUUAGGUAGUACAUCAAAUUAUGAUUUAGUAAAUAUGCAUAUAGUAUACCAAAAUAAUAAUAUUAAUUAUUUUUUUUAAAAAAAUUGGUUUGGAACCUAGCUCAACCCACGUCUGGUUCUAUUUAUUUUUAUUAAAAAUAAUAUUUUGCUGUGUGGGAGGGGGGGGGGGGGGGGAGGCAUAAAACUUGAACCAUGAGCCACAUUAGAUAGAUAGUUAAUAUCCUCAUAGAGAACAUCUUGAAUAAUUAAUUUGUUUUUCUUUGAAAAAAACAUAGUGUAAGAGCAUCUUCAACAACUUCUCUAUUUUCUUGAACUUCUCAAUUUUGGGAAAUAUAGAGCUGUUUUUAGACCCAACAGCUUCCCCAUCCCAUUCCCUAAAAUGGGGACGGAGAAGAAAGAGAAGUCUUCAUUCCCCAAAUUUGCAGCAAAGCCUUCCUUCCCUAAAAUUAAUUUUUUCACGUGCUUUAACGAAUCAACACAACAAUAGAAUAUUUUAUUGGGUAUUUUAUUGUUAUAAUAAAAUAUAUAAUGUUUUUUUUGUUAUAAUUAAUAAUGAUAUAGUAUAUUUUAUUAUUGUAUUAAAUGCUGAAAUCUCCAAAAUGGAGAAGUUGUUGGAUUUUAAACAUAAUUUUUUUAGAGAUUUUAGGUUUUGUUUCCUCAUUUUAGAGAAAUUUUAGGGAAGCUGUUGGAGAUGCUCUAACAUUAUCGAUAAAGAUGGUGGAGGAGGUUUCACCUUGCUUAGUGUAGCAUUAUCGAUCAAGAUGGUGGAGGAAGUUUCAUCUCGUAUGACAACGGCUUUGACGAUCAAGGAGAACGGCCGCGUCUCCUCAUGUGUCAUUGGAGUGACAUCCAUCUAUGCGCCAUCGUUCGUGAUGAAGUAAUACGAGGUUCACAUCCAAAACUAAUUAAUUGGCAGUGGAUGAAGUGACCUAAACCCUUAUAAACUCACAUGCAUUAUUUUUCCGAUGUGAGAUUCAUAUCUCAACAUAGCCUGCACGUGUGGCGAAUUUUCAAGCCAUACAUGCGGAUAACUUUUUGGAUGAUGUGGAGUCUAUGUGGUCGUUAGACAUUCACACGUGGAUGUGGGAAAUUUGGCUCUCAUACUAUGAUGAAGUAAUACGAAGUUCACAUAUUUAACAAUGGAUGGAGUGGCCCAGAUCUUUAUAAAUCCAUUGACAAAGUCCCAUUUCGAUGUGGGAUUCAUACCUCAACAAUUCGUGGUGAGACAGCUUCUGAAUCGGAAACAAUUGGAUCCAAAGGGCCUCAUGGAAACCAUGGCGUUAGUACGGAAUCUCUGACGACGUCUUUCAAUCCGAGCAGUCAGUGACCAAUUCCUCGUGACGUUAACACAUAAGGCGGUUCAGAGGAAACUCUUAACCGGUGGCCCAUGGUUUUAAGACAAGGUUAUGUUCCUGCGGGCUACAUAUGACGGGAAAGGAGAUUCAGCAACGGUGAGUAAUCUCAGCUUCCUGGCUUGGGAUGAAAUGUUUGGUUUGCCCCUGUUUUGAUGAUGGAGCAUGCGGUGGAGAAGAUCGGGUCAACUCUACUCUUGGAGAUAUCAUUCACCCAGAGUUAGAAUAAUAUCAAGAGAGAGGCUUGAAGGCUAGGGUUCGAAUUUUUCAUCAUUUGGCUUCGUCGGUGAAACUCAAAUGGUACAAUUAAUCUUUCGUGAAUCAAACAACCUCAAAUUUGUGAAUGAUAAACUUAUGUCAUAAAACUAAAUGGUACAUGGUUAUUGCACUUUUAAAUAACCAGAGGGAGAUACCAUAGAGUCUGCAGUAGCUGAGUCUCCAUAGGUAUCCUUCACACUCGAACCAGUACCAAAGAAACCUUUACCCAUCUCCAAGGAACGUUGAGUUGAGUAUUGACCAAUCUCCAAAGAAACCUUCAUUCUAGCAGCAGUGAGGCGUCGGCAGUGAGGCGACGGUGGCAACUGUCACCUUCAAGUAUGAAAAGGAUUUCGGUUUUUACAAUUUGUGGGCUGCUCAAGCACCUUCAAGUGAUUGUGAAGGUCCACUGGAUGUGGUGGGGAAGAAGGGCAAAUAUGCCAUGGUUGUGAUGGCGUUGAUUGCAAACCCUAACUCUUAUUCAUUUUUAAGGACCUAGCUAGGGUUUUGGCACCAAACCCUAAUUCUCAAGCGACAUGAGAUAUUGAGGCAGGAAUGGUCAACCCUUUUGCACCAUCGGUCCUGUCAUUCUCUCAGUCAGGCAUCUCCGCUGCCGAACUCACCAAACGUCGUUUGGUACAUUUUCAGACUCCGCCUGCGUUUCAACCGGCACCAAACAUUGUUUCCCUAACUCCUCCAACCGUAGAAUCAGCUAUGUAGAUUAUCCCUGCAUCCCCUAUGGUGAGAGUGAAGCGAAAUGCUCACUCCAUGUAAUUCUUUUUCAGCAAGAAGGCAAGAGCUAUGUGUCCUAUCCCAUUACUAAAAUAGUUCGACGGUAAUUUUGUGCUAGAGUUGUCUCUUCCUCACCAUAGAGGGACUCUCCUAGUAUCUCCUCCAAAGAAACGUAAAGUGGGAUGUCCAGUCGGUUCAAAAAACAAACUUAAGAUGGAAUAUGUUCGUCCAUGGAAGGUUGCAGCUGCUAGAAUGAAGGUUUCUUUGGAGAUGGGUCAAUACUCAACUCAACGUUCCUUGGAGAUGGUAAAGGUUUCUUUGGUACUGGUUCGAGUGUGAAGGAUACCUAUGGAGACUCAGCUACUGCAGACUCUAUGGUAUCUCCCUCUGUGCAAUAACCAUGUACCAUUUAGUUUUAUGACAUAAGUUUAUCAUUCACAAAUUUAGGUUGUUUGAUUCACGAAAGAUUAAUUGUACCAUUUGAGAUAUUAAUAUGGUAAAAAAAAGAAGAAUAACUAUGUUAAAGGAAUAGUACUGAAGGUAUAAGGAUGGUUGACAAUCCUUUUAUCCUGCAGAAUACCCUGAGAUGAUGUUAUCUGAUCAAGAACAAGUGGCACUAAUAUCCCUUAUGGUUUUAGGUAAAACAUGCAUCUGCAUAUCACUGUUUUUCACAGAGGUUAGCAGCUUCGCUUGCUAUCCUAGUUCUGAGUCUGCUGUUGUCCUGAGUUUUCAAAGUCUGUUAUAUUAGUUUAAUAGGUCUUUCAAAUUCAAAUGGAUAACUGAGUUUGUGGGAAGUGCCUUGGCGCUCAAACCAAUCUAAGGGUUGAGAUCUUUUGGUAUGCCAACCCGUGACCAAAUGGUUUGUUGCUCAAAGCUCCAGCUAGGAUUUCAUGAUACGUUAUCCUAUGCAGAGCUGGUCCCUGUGUGAUUCAAAGACCAGUCGCUAUCGACUGUGUCAAGGUCCACUAAUGGACUGAGUAAGAGGGUUUGAAACCUCUUUGCUCCCUGUUUUGAAUCGUUCAUGUUUUACGAAAUGGUUCUUUGUCUUAUUGAGAUUGCUUGUGUCAUCUCUGUGUUUGGACACAUCACUUUCAGUAUGGGAGCCAAACACUUCUGUUCAAACCUUUCUGAAACAUGUUGAGGUCAGCUUGCAUCAUCUUUGAUGUCUUGUCUGCCUAUAUAUAUCUAUAGCUUUGGCUUUGCUCGAUGGUUGUUGAAAACUGCCUUAUUGCGUUUUCUUUGUUGAGUCUAGUUUUAGCUUGCAUUGUUCAUGCUGCUCUAAGUCUUCUUCGUGACUGUAAACCUUAGAGCUUGAACUCAAAACUUCUUUCAUCAACUCAUAUCAUGUUGCAUACCAUGAGAGAUGUGUAGUGCAACUAACCCAAGAAGCGUCCAAGGUUGAAUCAGCUAGUGGUUAGCUGAAUUCACGAACAAGGCUUCUAAAAGUGUUCCAUGUUGUAAGAGCUUAGAAACAAGAGAGGGAAUAGAUCUAGACUAGUUCGGGACUAAGAAGGAUAGCACUGUGGUAGUGUAUCACUAGAACUAUUAUUCUUGUAAGAAGUUACUUCAACUUAGUGGAAAGUUUUGUCUCUCAAGAGUUAGAGAUACGCAGUUUUUCUCCUUGCAUUUAGGGUUUUUGCGAGUAAAAAACAUUUUUGUGUUGAUUCUUUAGUUGCUGCAAUUUACUUUCUGUAAACUCGUAUCCUGUGAAUCUGGGAUAACACAAGUCAUUGCUAUCGUCGGAUACAGAAGUCAACGAAAAUUCAAAAAAGGCCUAUUCACCUCCCUCUAGGACCUUUAAGUACAAUUCAAUGGCCCAAGAGGAGGAGAUUGUAGGGCAGUCCCUCUCCUUUGGAAACCUCAAUUUCUGUACUUUAUGCUAAGAAUAGAGGUGCAAUCUUCCCAACUUGCGGGCAAUGUAUACUAAUCGCUCAUCAUUGUGAUGUUUGAGUAGAUAUUCAGACGUAGUAUGUACUGCAAUCAAGUACUACAAUUAUAAUGGAUUCUUAUUUAGGCAUCAUCUUUCUAUUGUGUCUCCUUCAUUUGGCCUCUGUUUCUCAAAGUACUACACAUCCAAAAGGUGAGGGCAUUGACCAACGCAUCAGGACAGGCAUGUAUCAUGAACCCCUGCACUGAAUGCGACCAGUAAGGAUUACAUAGAUGGUCAUAGCCAAUCCAUCGGAUGCUGGCUUUGCUGAAUUUCUCUAGUGAUGCAAUCAACAAGGGAAGUGACUUCAAAUGGCUAGUCAUCUCUGUAGCCACAAAACGAGGUGCCUGCGACAUUAUUACUAUAAAAGUUUAUGAUCGAGUGAAAAUGACCUGAGCAGCAAUAUCAAACAACCAAAACAAAGAACAAGAACAUGCAAGAAUAGAGUGAAAAUGAACCUGACACUGAAUGUCAAUUCCAUGCUCCUUAUAUUCCAAACUAAUGCAUCUUGAGAAAAUUUUCAGGUACCUGUAUCAUAAGUUUAUGAAUUAGGAGUCUAAGUUCCACGACGAAAGAAAAUUUAAAGAAACUAGGGUCGUUUUAGUUAGCAAAACUCACGAUUUAGAAGCCGCAUAAAGUGUAUAUAGAGGCAAAGAAGGGUCCUCGGAUAAAUCAGAGCCGAUAUUGAUGAUUGCUCCCUUCUUCUUCUUGAGCAUACCAGGAAGCACUGCCCUAGUCACCCAAGUUGGUGCUUCCAUGUUAACCUUUGUAAUGCUCUCCAUCAGCUCCAGAUCUACCUCAUGAAAGAACCUUGCAUAAGGAUAAGUCACCCCUGCAUUGUUAACCAAAAUGCCAACAUCAAGCCCUUUGAUGCCUUCCUCUAUAGUUUUAGCUAUCUGCUCACCACUCACUUUCGCCAAGUCGAUGACAAUGCUCUUAACUUUCACUGGUUCAUGACAGUUCUCGCGGAUUCCUUUGGAGGUAGCUUCGAGCUUGGAAGGGUUUCGGCCAACCAAGACAAGGUUAAGACCCUUUGAAGCCAUUUCAAAGGCAAGGGCUUUGCCGAUUCCAUCAGUGGAGCCAGUGAUGAUCGCCCAUGAUCCAUACUCCUUGAGAUCCCUUGGAGGUCUCAGAAACAUGACCCAUACCCAUCUCACACAAUUGAUUAAAGAUUUACAAACAGAUACCAACCCUAUGGCGAUUGCUACCACUAUGAAAAAUUCAUGUAGCUCCAUUGCCUAAUAUGGAGUCGAUCAGUAAAGCAAUUUGGAGUACAAUUUUCCUUAUUUGGUUAUACAAAACUGAUUGAAGCAAGCAGAAGAUAUAUAACUCGCAAGUUGGCAUGUAGAGAAAGACCAUUCAAACUCCUGCAUGUAAGCAACAGCUCGAUUGGUUGGUUGGUGGUUGUCAGAUUUCAGGUUUGCAUAUAAGGAAUCGUUGGUAGUUGUCAGAUCCCUGGUUUGUAUUUAGGAGUUGGGGAAGUAGUAACUGCACACAUGCAUUGAACCAUUAUGCUGAGAUUCUCCUGUUAACGUAGGGCACCUCUUUCUGAUAAUCUGAUCAUUUGGCAUCUCUUUCUGAUCCUACUGCUGAAAGAGAAAUAUACAAGGUAAUUCGCUUUGUAUUAUAUAUCAAGCAAUACCAGAAUAAUUCCAAAUACAAAUCCAUGCGAACCGUCAAAUUAGUUAUUGGUGAGGAGCUUGAAUCCAACCACCUUUGAUAUAGAAUUAUAGAUUGAAUACAAGUAGCUAGCUCCUUAUUAGUUCUUUAUGUUAUCUAAAAUGUUACCUAAGAAAAAAGAAGAUGGAAGAUAUAUCAUACUCCUUUAUGACAAAGCCAACCUCAGUAAAACCUAUGUGAUUAAAUAUAUAGUACACAUCAGAAUGCAUAUUACUGUUGAUGCAUCUUCUUGAUCUGUGCCUCCUUCAUUUGGCCUCUCUUUCUGAUCUCAAUGUUAUUCCGGUAAUUUAUGGCAUUCAACAACACAUCCGGUAAUGCUGCACGAUAUAUGAACCACUGCACAGAGUGCCACCAGUAGGGAUUGCACAGAGGUUGGUCAUGACUAAUACAUUGAACGCUUGCUUUGCAAAAUUGCUCUGGUGAUGCCAACAGCCAGGAAGGUCCAUUCACUUGUUGUAUUAAACCCGUAGCCACGAAAAGAGGAGUCUGCAUCAGUUGAGAAGAUGAACGCAGGUGAAUUACUAUCAUAGACUGUAUAAGGAGCAGCAGGGAUAAACUUCUUUUAAUAUGUUACACUGUUAAGAAUUAUAUAGUGGCCGGAAUUUUGAGCAGGGUACGUAGGGUAUGAAAGCCUGAGGUCCCUAGUCCAACUUUCCAACCACAAUCAGUGUAGUAUCAUGGUGUAACCAGCAAGUUGAUUUAUUUGACAGACAUAAAUAAACAGAUAGGGAAACAGAGAAUUGGGGAUUCCGGUGGGGUUGAUGGAAUUGAAAUUUGGAUCUUUGGAUCUAGUAUAGGUAUUUUUUGUGAUGUUAAACCAAUAAUAGAAAGAAAAACAAUACAGAGGAAGAUAAUGACAACUUACCUGACACUGAAUGUCAAUUCCCAUCUGCUUGUAUUCCAAACUAAUGCAUUAUGGGAACAAGGAAAUGUACCUGUUCCAUAAGUUCAUAACUCAUUAGCUCAUAAAGUCAUAAUCAAAAGGCUAUGUAAUUAUGUAUGUGUAUUCCAAACUAAUGCAUUUAGCUUGUGAUAUAUAUGUAAUGUUUCCAUAUGUAGUAAGCUAGAUAAUACUUAUGAGAGUAAGGAAAGACUGAUACAUCUCUUAGGUCUUAUCAGUUUGUAACACAUCUAAAGUCAUUAUCUUAGAGAAAUCUGAACUACGUACUGUACCCAAAGUAGUUCACCGAGACACGACACUUUUGAGAAUCUAAUAACAAAACCAGAAUUUUGUUUAGAGUUCUAAUGUGAUUCGAAUGAGGAAAUGGUAGACUGCACGCUGAUGAAGUUCAGAGAUGUUUAUACCAAGAUGGAACUUAUGCAUGAAACAACCAAAAUGGUAGUCCAGAAAACUCACGCUUUGGUUGCAGCAUUUGCAGCAUAAACGGUGUCAAGAGGCCAAGAAGGGAGGUGAGCUGUCAUAGAACCAAUAUUGAGAAUUGCUCCUUUCUUCUUCUUCAGCAUUCCUGAAAGCACUGCCUUAGUCACCCAAGUUGCUCCUCCAACGUUCACCUUUAUAAUAUUCUCCAUGAGUUCCAGAUCAACCUCAUGAAAAUACCUUGCGUAAGGGUAAGACGUGCCCGCGUUAUUAACCAAAACACCAACAUCUAGCUCUUCUAUCCCUUUCUCUAUGGCAUUAGCUAUUUCCUCCCCACUCGAUUUGGCUAGGUCGAUAACCAUGCUCCUAAACUCGACUUUUCGACCAGAUUCUAUAAGUAUUUCAUUGCAGGUAGCUUCCAGCGCUGAAUGGUUUCUAUCGAUGAGGAAAAGGUUAAGACCCUUCGAGGCUAACUCAAAGGCAAGCACUUUGCCAAUUCCUUGAGCAGAGCCGGUGACAAUAGCCCAAGACCCAUAGUCCUUGAGAUUCUUGGAGGGUCUCAGAAACAUGAUCCAUACCCACCUCACAAAGUUGAUAAAAGCUUUACAAACAGAGAUGAAGCCUAUGCAUGUUGCUGUGAGAUAAUCAGAUAAAAACUCAAAAUACUAGACAUCUUUUAAGAUAAAUCCAUACAUAUUUUUCUUUUAGGGAAAAUUCCCAUCUACCCUAUUAUUAAGGAAUUUUUUCUCACUAACAAAAUAAAAAUCUAAAAUUCCCACUAACCCUAUACACUUUUAGUAUUUAUUCUCUCUAACAAAAUAUUUAACUUUUUAUAUUUUUAUUGUCAAAACUGCCCUCCCUUAUUCUUAUUCUUAGUCUCUCAUCUCUCUCUUUAUCCUAUUUCUUUCAGAUCUAAUCUCUCUCUCUCUCUCCUCACCGGAUAAGGUUCAGACGACGGCGCUCAAUGCUAAACGAUGGCCUUCUGAAGACGGUGACGCCGUCGUGCGCAUCGAAGUCCCCUUCGGAUAUUGCAGAUCUGAAUUUCAAAGUUAAAACGAAGGGGAAGGAGAAAGACUGGUCGUCGUGGGUGUUGGUCGUCGCCGGCUACGCGAAGCAAGGAUGAAAAUGUUUGAGGAAAUGAGAGGAGUGUGUUAAUGAAUUGAAAUGGUAGGGAGAGAGUGUGAAGAUGGAAGGUGGACUAGGGUGAGCUUUUGCUUUCGAUGGUGACUUGAAUUUGUUUGGAUUUUAGAGAGAGAAGGGAGCUUUUACACGGUUGUGUAUGGGGAUCUGAGUUCUCUUUUUGUUUUUGGGCUUUGAUGGUUUUGUUAAAAACAUUGGGGAAAAGGAGGAAGAAGGGUGAGAACUGAGAAGUUUGGUUUUAGGGAGGAAGGAUAGGACGAAGAGCCAAAAGAUGGAGAUUCAAAGAAAAUUGUGGUUUAGUAGUGUUUUUGGCCUGAAACGAGGAUUAGAUGUAGUUAAGAGAAAAAGGGAAAUGCUUUGCUGUUGAGACUUCAAGGUGAGACAAUGGUGGGGAACCUUGGAAGCUUCCAUUGAGGCUUGGCCUUGUGUGGGAAUCAUUCAUUCCAUCCUGUAUAUUUGACCCAAUUGAUAUUUAUAAUUGUGAUCCAAUUUUAUGGGACUUGGUUGAUAGAUCUGGGAGGAAAGCAAAUGGUUGACCUUGUGAAGUUGUGCUCCUAAGGUUCCUGGUAUGCAUUUUAACAUUUUGAAGAUUCAUUUAGAGAGAAAUAAGCCAUUAAGCCUCUCUUCCCAUUCUAACCGGAAGUUUGGAUGAUACUCUAUUACGGUAUGAUCACAGUAACAUCAGUUACACUCCAUUAAAGUUGGUUUGGUUGUUGUUGUUGGUGAGGAGUUUGCGGUGGAGAAAACGCAUGUCGUCUGUUUCUACUGUUCUCAGUAGACUCUCAUAUUGCCCCUAGUAGACCCUCAUACUGCCCCCAAAAGGCCCUCAUACUACCUCUAACAGGGACAUGUUAUAAGUGACUAAAACACACAGUUAAGUUCAAUAGGAGGUCCUACCGACCCCAACAAGAGGUCUUAUUGACCCUAAUAGGUGGUCCUAUUGCCCUAAUAGGAGGUCAUACUGUCCCUACUGACCCUAGUAGGUGGUCCUACUGCCCUAAUAGGAGGUCAUACUGUCCCUACUGACCCCAGUAGGUGGUCCUACUGCCCUCAAUAGGNNNNNNNNNNNNNNNNNNNNNNNNNNNNNNNNNNNNNNNNNNNNNNNNNNNNNNNNNNNNNNNNNNNNNNNNNNNNNNNUAUAGUGUGUGUAUAUAUAUAUAUAUAUAUAUAUAUAUAUAUAUAUAUGCUAUAUACAGAAGUAUGUCAUUUGUAAUAGGAUGAUAUUUUUCAUUCCUAAGCUCCCAUUUGGUGUUUCUCUACAGAGUCGGAAAAUGUCUAAUUGUAAGGUACACGUUAUUGUUCUUUGAUUAAUUUUCUUCUUUUUAGGUAUAUAUAUUAUUAUAUCAUUUCUCAUCCUAAUCGAAAGAACAUUUUACUCUCUACUCCUUACGUUUCUAAUGUACCUAUUAAGUAGGACAUGAUAUGAUAAUAAACCUAAAAAGAAGAAACCCAAAAUUAGAUUUAGGGUAUAGGGUUAAGGUAUAGGGUUUAGGGUAUAGGUUCAGGGUAUAGGGUAUAGAGUUUAGGGUUUAAGGUUUAGGGUAUAGGGUUUACGUUUCUAAUGUACCUAUUAAGUAGGGCAUGAUGAUAAUAUACCUAAAAAGAAGAAACCCAAAAUUGGGUUUAGGGUAUAGGGUUAAGGUAUAGGGUUUAGGGUUUAGGGUUUAGAUCAGUAUCUUCAUAUUAUAUUUUACCUUAUGUAUAAAUUAGAGAAUGAAUUCCUUUAAUCUAGAUUUUUUCAUAAAAAUAAAGAAAAUUGCAUGAUUCUUGCAAAUUGAUUGAAAAAUGUUAGUGUUAGAAGAAAAACUCAUAAUCAAAGUAUUUAAGACAAUAUCAAUUAAACUUAUUUAUUAUAUUUAUAUCUUAUAGUUGAAUGGUGGCAAUUGUGUAAAAUUUAGAAAAAAUAGGACAUAAUAUUUAUCAUAAUUGAUACGUUUUAGAUGUCUAUUAAAUAGAAAUAUUAGAUGGAUUUUAUUUAAAACCACUCUUCAAAAUUGAGUGUAUAUGAAAAUUCCCCUAUUGAUGUUACAAUGAAAGCUUCUUGCAGCUCCAUUGCCAUAACCAGCCCUCUGUAAAGAAACUGGGUUAGAUUGUUCUCUCUUUAUAAAAAGCUCAAGUUUACCUUAUUUCUCCAUCUUCACACUACUCCUUGCUGUGUUUUUAUAUAUACUUACAUAAACAAGAGGCAUCAAUCAGUUUGUAUCUGCAUGCUUUCAUGAUUUGGCUGCUUUCCGUCUAUGCAUUCAAAUGUUUUGAUUUCAUUAUUUAGAGGGGCAGUGCAUUCAAAUGUGAUACAACAUAUUUUCUCUCUUUUGUUAGGCACCCCCAGCUCCGCCGAGCUAGUUAUACAGACUUUCAAGAAAUCUAGGGGUGAGUUUUCAAACGUUGGUUCUUAUGAGGUCGAUUGUGCAUGAUUUGUAAAUGUGUUGGAGAGACCAUAUUGGUUCUUUUAAUAUUUAGACCUUAGUUAUUGUACUGCGGUAAUUAAAUCAAGGUUACCGGGGCUAGGACAACUCAAGAGCAUAGGUUUGGUGUGAGCUAAAAGAUAAUUUGGGAUUGUUAUAGACUUAUAGCUAUAAGCUGGUGAGUAAUCCAACCACCUUUGAUAUAGAAUUAUAGCUUGAAUACAGUAGCUAGCUAGCUGCUCAUUAGUUCAAUUACUUGUCUAAAAGGUAACCAAACAAAAAAGAAGAUGGGAGUCAUUGGAAGAUACAUUAUACUCUGUUAAAACCAACCUCAGUAAAACAUAUAUGCUCGCAUACUUGUACAGUUGUACUCCUCACAGGGCAUUUUCCUGUUGAUGCAUCUUCUUGAUCUGUGCCUCCUCCAUUUGGCCUCUCUGUGAUCCGAAUGCAUAUCCUGUAACUGAUGGCAUUCAGUAACACAUCCAGCGAGGCCACACGUAAUAUGAACCACUGCACAGUUUUCUUUCUUUUUCUUGAGUUAACAUCGCAAACAAUACCUAUACAAUUAGAUUAAAAGAUCUAAAGUUCAAUUACUCCAACCCCAGAACCCCAAAUUCUAUGUUUCCCUAUCUAUUUUUGUGUCUGUCGAUAAUCAACUUGCUAGUUAGUAGUUACACCAUGGUACUACAACGAUGUUUGGUUGGAAAGUAUGAACUCAAGCUCAAAAUUUCUGCCACUAUAUCUCAACAGCCUAACAUAUAAAGAGAAAUUUAUCCCUGCUGCUCCUUCUAUAUGAUAUUAAUCCACCUGCGUUCAUAUUCUCAACUGAUGCAGACUCCACUUUUUGUGGCGACGAGGAUGACAGAGCAUGUGAGCACAUCUUCCUGGUUGAUGGCCUCACCGGAGAAAUUUAGCAAAGCAAGCGUUCGAUGGAUUGGUUAUGAGCCUCUCUGUAAUCCCUACUGGUGUCAAGGGGGAUAAUAAGAACCUGACACUGAAUGUCAAUUCCCUGCUGCUUGUAUUCCAAACUAAUGCAUCUUGAGAAUAUGGAAAUGUACCUGUUUUCAUAAGUUCAUAAUUUAUUAACGUACUCAUAAUCAAAGGGUUAUAUGUAUAUGCAUGUAUUCCAAACUCUUCAGAUGUUUAUGUAAUGUUUCCAACCAUCUGAGAAGGGAAAGACAGAUUGAUCAGUUUAUAACUGGUUUAUAACUGAUCUAAAGUCCAUAUCUUACAGAAUGAUGAACUUCACCCAAAGUAGUUCAAUGAGAAACCUAAACUUUUGAUAAGAAGGCUCUUCUAAACAUGCGAGGACCCUACUCUGAACGGCAGGGAAGAAAACUGCUUGGAAUUAAGAUUAACUUGGAGAUUUCAUAUACAACUUCUGGCUCUGAUGCUAGCUCUGAUCUAAGGUUGUGAAAGAAACGAUCUGAUACAUCGUUUCAAAGAUUCUGACGAGCUGAAUAAUAUCCAAACGUGAUUCUAUGACCUAGGAGUGUUAAGAGUAUAAGGGUAGUUCGGUCAUUUGUUUAGAAUCCCUACCCUAUAAAAGCUAUGAGAUGUACACUGUUCAUUAUUAACAAGCAAUACAAGAUGUAGUCUCCAAAUUCUCUUUUGCGUUUUACAUUUUAUGCUUUGUUCUUUUAGUUUUCAAUAAUCCAUGGUUUCCUAGCAUGGUAUCAGAGCCAUGGUCACGAUCUGUGACUAUGUGCUUCUGAUUAUCUCUGCUUCCGCAUUUUCUCUUAGAUUUUACUCAUUUCAGUUUUCCCCAAUUUCAAAAUCCCUAGCCAAGCCGAGCAGUCCUCCAUCGGAGUCCAGUGCGUCUUCAUCGUCAGGCUUUCCUUCGUCUCCAGAUCGAUCAGUUCUCUUUGGCCUCGCAGCGACUUCGAUUUCGGCCUCUCAAUAUUCGUCGACCUCGACUCACCUACUUCUCUUGCUUCGACUUCUCUGCUCGGAGAUCUCUUUGGCGCUGGCUUCAUCUUCUGGUCCUCAUAUUGCUCUCUGGGCACCUAGUUGCAGUCUAUGGGUAUUAGUCUCUCUGCUCCUUGUGUUUUAUUGCUUCGAUGAAGUUGGAUGUAGAAGUAGGGAGAGGUGAUUUGACGGGGAAAGAUGGAUAUUAUUUGUGAAUAUUCUGGGCUUUGAUUUCUAAUGGUGAUUUGAGACUAUCUCUGUUUGAUAUCAUGAUUGUGCUUUGGCUUAUCAAUUUCUUAUGCUCCCCACUCAAUUAGCAUCAGAUUUGUUAGCUCCUCUGGUAGUAUCUCUCAGAUUUGGCACAUCUUUCACUCAAAAUCAUGGAUUUCCUCUGUAGUCUGGGGUGUUAUGAUCAUUUCAUCAGUUUUCCAUUUUACUUUUCAUGUCAAAGUUUGUUUGCCGUCAACCAAAAGAAAAGGUGACAAAGCAGUUAAAAUUUUCAAUUUAUUUGUGGACUGGUGAAGUGACGUGAUGGGUUGGAUUAUGGUCUGAAUGUAUGACUUGGGUGCGAGUUGUGUUCAUUUUGGGAGAUGGUCCUAUGAUUGCUGCGAAUUUGUUGUGUGUUAUGCUUUGUCAUAUUGCUGCUAAGGUGUUUGGGUGAUAUGCAAAGUUGUGAGGAUUUAAUUUAGAAGUCUAGAGAGGAGUUAAGUUGGUUAUGAGCUGCUGUGUGGUUAUGCAAUUUCAAUAUUAAGUCAGAUUCUUAAGGUUUGGAUUGUGUUGCCAAUAUAUAAAUAUGGGGGCUGCUGGUAAUCUUCUGAUGGAAUGCUGCAUAUAUUGAGGCAAAUUAUCAAUUGGUUUGUGCAAGUGUUUAGUGCAUAUAAAUGAAGCAUCAAGUGGUUCUUCUCAUCCUAUGGCAGCAUAUGCAGCUUUUCAGUUUUUCAGUUUUUUAGUUCAUGAUUGAAGAAAAAUAUGCAGUUUUCAGCAAAUACAGCUUUUCAGUUUGUUAGUUUACAGUUGAAGAAAAAUAUGCAAUUUUCAGAUUUGGAUUUUUAGUUAUUCAUCUUUGCUACUAUGUGUUGCCGAGGAUGCAUUCCAUAUUGCUGCUCUACAGCCCAUGUGAUAUGUGAAAUUUUCCAGCAAGCUCUCUUCUCCUCCUUUGAUAGCCGAAUGUCAAGAUGGAUGCUCUUCUGAUAUCAAGUAUAGUUGGGUUUUUGAUUUGGGUUAAUAGUUUUGUAAUUGGAUUCUACAUCUGUAUUUUUUUUAGUUGUUUGCUUUGUGCCAACCAUUAUGCUUAGCCAAGCAUAUGGUUGAGGAAGGGUGUUAAGAGUAUAAGGGUAGUUCGGUCAUUUGUUUAGAAUCCCUACUCUAUAAAAGCUAUGAAAUGUACACUGUUCAUUAUUAACAAGCAAUACAAGAUGUAGUCUCUAAAUUCUCUUCUGCGUUUUACAUUUUCUGCUUUGUUCUUUUAGUUUUCAAUAAUCCAUGGUUUCCUAGCAAGGAGCGUCUUAGAACUAGCAUCAAGUAACUCAACUUAUCAAAGGCUUGUUAUCAGGGUCUGUGUUUCAACAUUGUACACGACGGAUUACUAUAACCACAUAGAAAGAGGUCCUAUUAGACUUCAUUUUUUUUCUUAUGCUUAUGGAUGAUGCAAACAACGUUUUAUAUCAUCUUCAAGGAAUCUAGACGCCUUCAAUAGACACGCAGUAGUAACAAGUUACAACUCCAAAGCUAGUGUUAAAGAUUAGGAUUUUUGGCACCAAUAAUGUCUGAACACUUGGGUGACUGACAAUAUGAUACCCGAACUUACAAAGUUAUCAAAAUGGUACCCAAACUCAAUUUUUAGUAUCUACAUAGUACCCACGGCCGAUUUUUCGUCACGUCAAUGUUAACAUUGACCAUAUGUGACAUAUGUGUGUUAAAAUAAUGAGGGUAAAAAAGAUUUUUGACUCUGACAAACCCUAAAAUGAAUAUAUUGAAAAUUAAAAUAAUAUUCACCAAAAAACUCUCUCUAGUUCUAGCUCUCUUUCUCCAUCUGAAAUAUUAUCUUUCCCCAUCUCAAAUCAUACCGGCACUGAGAGUCCAGCACCUAGAACUCUAUAAGGUAGAUCGACGAUAGAGAGAAUGGAGGACAAAUAAGUCUUUUUGCCUCAUUUAACAAGUCUGUUGACGGAGAUUAACCACAGGUAUUACGCAGAUACUAAAAAUCGAGUUUGGGUACCAUUUUGAUAACUUUGUAAGUUCGGGUACCAUAUUGUCAGUCACCCAAGUGUUCAGACACUGUUGGUGUAAAAAACCCUAAAGAUUAUAUACUUCUAGUCUAGGAGUGAAAUAUAUUGGUGAAGAUUUGAUUAAUUAAUAAUUGAAUUAUUAACAGCUUUUCUGAAACACGUUGAGAGCUUUUCUGAAACACGUUGAGAGAAAAUUGUACAAUAGAUCCAGUUAAUACUAAAGAAUUUAAGACCUCUAAUGUGAUUCAAAUAAUGGAGGGAAGUAGUAGAGUACAUGUUGAUGCAGUUAAGAGAUUUCUAAUUUCAAUGCAAGGAUGAAACAUGCAUGAAAGAAUUGAAAUGAUUGUACAAAAAACUCACGCUUUGGUUGUAGAAUAAAAAGAGUGUAUAGAGGAAAAGAGGGGAGGUGAGCUGAAUUAGAACUGAUAUUGACAAUUGUUCCUUUCUUCUUCUUCAGCAUUCCUGGAAGCACUGCCCUGGUCACCCAAGUUGCUGCUCCCAAGUUCAACUUUAUGAUAUUCUCCAUGAGUUCCAAAUCAACCUCAUGAAAAAACCUUGCAUAAGGGUAAGCCAUCCCUACAUUGUUGAUCAGAACACCAACAUCUAGCCCUUUUAUCUCUUCUUCUAUGGCAUUAGCUAUUUCCUCCCCUCUCAAUUUGGCUAAGUCGAUGACCAUGCUCUUAAUCUGGACAUUUCCACCAAAAUUUUCAAGUAUUUCAUUGCAGGUAGCUUCAAGCGCCGAAUGGUUUUUAUCGAUCAGGACAAGGUUAAGACCCUUGGAGGCUAACUCAAAGGCAAGCACUUUGCCAAUUCCUUGAGCAGAGCCAGUGACAAUGCCCCAAGAGCCAUAGUCCUUGAGAUUCUUUGGGGGUCUCAGAAACAUGACCCAUACCCAUCUCACAAAGUUGACGAAAGCUUUACAAACAGAGAUGAAGCCUAUGCAGCUUGCUGCUACAAUGAAAGCUUCUUGUAGUUCCAUUGCCAUAACCAGCUAUCUGUAAAAGACACUUGGUUAGAUAAUCUAUCUUUCUGAGAAACUCAUUAAGUUCAAGGUUCUUAUGAAGAACGCUGAAGUUUGUAGACGUUCAAUCAUUCAGUGCAAGUCCAUCCCUGUUAUUGAAAGUCCGGUACUGUAAAUAAAGAAGAGUAGUUGCAUCAAGGAAAUGCAUAAUAAACAAACAAGCGUGUGCGUACUGGGUUUUGUCCCUUAUUUUGCGUGCCAUGCAGCCCAUGCUGUUCAUGUGCUUCUGCAAAGCUUAGCAACAUUAGCUUGUUUUAGGGGCUAGUAUUUAUGAAUUUGACUUCUCUACUUGGAUUUAUGUUACUUGGAUUUGCUUGGAUGUAGUGGCGUAGCCAGAACUCACACUUAGAAUGGUCAAGUUUUAUUAACUAAAAAAUUAAAUUCAUAUUCAGUUACUCUCUAAUAAUGUGAGACCCCGUAAAAUUAAAAUACUCAUUGUGUUGCUUGGGAGAUUUGGAGACAUCAAGUUGGGGUUGACGUUGUUAAGCAAGUGACCUCGGGUAAAAUUGAAGCUUGAAGUCUUCAUUAGCCGGUAGAGGUUUUCUUUGUUACCAUUUACCGAUCUCUAAAAGAUUAAGCUUGUUUACUGUACAUGGCAUUUUAGGACCAUUUGACUGGUGAAACUGAAUUAAAAGAGAAGAAGGAUAGUAAUAAGUCGAGACACGCGUCCUUCACCCGUGAGGAACCGCCUCUCUCCAAAUGUUUCCAUCCCUGGUGAAGCAAUCUCUGUAGCUAAAGUGAAUCAGAACAUAGCCAAAUUUAUUUGGUUCAUCAGUUCUGAAUUGAGAGAAAGUUUGUUGGGUGCAAACCAAAAGAAAAGGAAAUUGAUAAAUUCAAAGUUGAUUCAUAUAUAUUGAUAGCUACCAUCAACUAGCUGGGUUACAGCAUAUAUAAGAUGGGACUCCAUCUGUUACAAGAGAGAAAGAAGACAAGAGGUAGGUGUCAUCAUUUGGCCCGAGGGCUUAAAAAGCUCAUGGGCGACCCAUGGCCCGAAGGGCCAAAGCCCGGCCCGGCCCGUAGAAAAGCCCAUUCAAGCCCGGCCUUUAGGGCAUAAGGCAGGGUAAGGGUCGAGAGUUUAAAGCCUAGGCCCGGCCCACGGCCCGGCCCUCUCAGCCCGGCCCUUAAAGCCCGUUGACUUUCAGUGACUGUCUGACUGUCUCUUGUCUUCCCCACUUCCAUACUUUCAAAACUGAAGCAGCAGAGAGGACUUUCCAGUUUUGAAGCCACCUACAAGAAAUCAUGAUCUUAUUAUAAUAGAAAAAGAUCAUGAUUUUCUAGUUGUUCCCCCACUCUUAUCUUCCUUCUAAAGCCGAGUACGUUCCCCCACUCUACUCCAGCUUUUCUCUACUUUUCAUAAUAGAAAAAGAAGGGAUAGAAAGAAAGAUUCUCAGUCUCUCUUAUUACCCAGCAUACUCUCAUAGUCUCAUUUAUUAACGUUAGAUACAAACAAUCCAAUCUCUCUUCUUAUCUAUUGUACAAACAAAUAUUAACGUUAGCUUGAAGAUGAUAAAUACUGUAUUGCAGAAACCUUUUUCUUAUCGACCCAGUCACCCAGCCAGAGACAAAAAACCUUAGCCUCCCAAAUUCCCCAAAACACAUCAAGGUUGCCGAAGCCGAUUGCCGAAACCUCUCGAUUGCCGAAGCCGAUUGCAGAAGCCUAUUGCCGGAUCGUCGACCAAGACGUCGUCGAUUGUCGGAUCGUCGAUCAAGGUUGAGGGCAGGAUUAUUGCAUGUGAAGGGGGUGAGUUUUCCUGUUGCUUUUCUCUUUCAAUUGAUUUUGAUAAACUUUUGCCAGAUCGUCGUCGAUUCAUUCAAGGUCGUCGUCGUUGAUUGCCGGAUCAUCGAUCAAGGUUAAUUUGAUAAACUUUUAUUGAUUGCAGACCUGAUUGAAUUCCAUUGAGGAUCGUCGAUUGCCUGAUCGUCCAUUGAAGAUGGGAAGGAUCGUCGUCAGUAUAACUUCAAGUAACUCUAAACUUUGAUGAUUUGUUAUGUUUGUCGACUGUUAUAUGUCUAGUUUGGUAUAUAGUCUUUGUUAUGGUUGUCUUUAUAUCCACUAGAUAGUUGCAUUUAGUCCUGAUAUGGUUGUCUUUGUUAUGCUGUCUCUUUCUAAUCUUACCUCUUCUAGUUUAUUAGGCUUGGUUUGGCUUUAGGAAUUGAAAACUAUUACCGGUGCUUGACUGUUUUUGGUUUAUUAUGUCCUGGGAUUAGUUUAGUUAAUUGUUUCAAUCUGAAAUGACUACAGUUAAUGAGGAAACUGAGGAAACAUCCUCGGUUCCCCCAAGAACUGUUAGACAAACGAGUGAUGUUUGGAAUAUUUUUGAGAAGGUUGAAAAAAUGGAUGGCAACAUAAAAUUACUGAAAGCUAAGUGUGGUAUUUGUGGUGAAUUGCUUUCUCGUGGGGGGACUAGUGGAACAACUCAUUUGAAACGACAUAUUAAGAAGCAUGCUAGUGCAAAUGGUCAAAAUGAGGACAUUAGAAAGCAAAUGCAGUUAGCUAUAAAUGCUACUGGAAAUGUAACAAAUUUCCAGUAUGAUAAAAACGUGGCUAGGAAAGAAAUUGUUGAUUUUAUCAUUAGAGCUGAAUUGCCUUUUACAUUUGUUGAAAAGCAUGAUUUUAUAGGCAUGAUUCAAAGAUCAUUUGCUCCUCAAUUUAGGGGAUUUUCAGCCUCUACUUGUAAAAAGGAUGUGAUGAAACUUUUUAGUAAUGGAAAAGAUGAGCUACUUAAAUUUUUUCAAAAUUUUGAAGGAAAAGUUUGUCUCACUUCUGAUGUGUGGUCAUCACGACAAAAAAUGGGGUAUAUGUCACUCAUUUCAUUGACAAAAAUUGGUCUUUGAACAAAAGAAUUAUUUCAUUUAAAAUGAUUGAGUAUCCACAUUCAGGGGAAACACUUGCACAACAUGUAUAUGAAGAGUUGAUUACUUGGCAUAUUCAUGAAAAAGUUUUCUCCAUAUCAUUAGACAAUGCUUCAAACAAUGAUGUACUAGUACAAUUACUUACAAAUUAUCUUAUGCUUGCAUCAGUGCCUAAGCAAUUGUUUCAUGUAUGUUGUUGUGCUCAUAUCCUAAAUUUAAUUGUGCAAGAUGGGCUAAGUAUUUUAUCUUCAUCAAUUGAGAAAAUAACCACCAUUGUGCGUAGCAUGAAUUCCUCUAUUAAGAGGCAUGAAGUAUGGGUACAAGCUUGUGCUGAUUUAGGUUUUGGAAAAAAAAAUAUUGACAAUGAUGUUCCUCAUAGGUGGAAUUCCACAUAUGAUCUUUUACUAUUAGCUCUAAAAUAUAAAGGUCCUUUGCAUAGAUAUGUGCAAAAAGUAAAUGAAUCUCGUUCUUGUAAUUUAGCAUCUCCAACUGAACAAGAUUGGUUGAUCGCUGAACUUACAUGUGGUUUGAUGUGUUUUAAAAUGUUACUCGCAAGCGCACGAAUCAGUUGCAGCACAGAUAUGCAAGAGCGAGGUCGAACCCACAGGGAAUGUAAGAAAAUAGGAAAAACUAAUCGAAUCUAAAUUAAUUUAACAUUAACCUAGUUGAAUGAAAGUUGAUGGUGAAGUAGCUAAGACAAAUAAAAUAGAUAAAAAAUUACCUUGAUGACGAAGUAACUAAAGCAUCGGAUUCCACCACAUUACUUGAUAAGUCUCUAAAUAUUAUCUACUAAUUCCCGAAUUAGGAAUAGCAAUCUAGAAAUCAAUCUACUGCUUUCUCAAGAUUUAACAAUGAAGCACACAUGAAAUAUAUCUAAAGUAGACUCUUCUUCGCUUCUUAAUUAUGAACAUCGAAGCAUCACAUGUACACAAACUUAUUGAAACUACAAAAGAUCAAAGUGUUUACAAAGCAUCAAAUGUGAAACAAGCUCAUUUGAAUGACAAGAGAUCAAAGAAGUUCAUAUUAAAUAUUUUACAAAGUCAAGCAUGAAUUAAUAAAACCGACUUCCAAACUACCAAAAAUGCAUGACAUUAGAGGUGAAAAGAACAAGGAUUUUAUUAAUGCAUUUUGAAGCAAGAGUCAUAGGCAUGGAUAACAUAACUAUGGGAAUUGUAGAUAAUUAAAAGAAACUUAUUUCAUAAUGUGGUUUCCUCCUUAACCUUAGUUAAGGAAAUUAGCUAGACAUAGUACAAAUUGAAAACAUAUUUAAAACAAUACAAAACAUCAUACAAAAAGUAGCUAAAGAAAGAGAAGAACUAAGAGCAACAAUGUGUCUCUAAUUCUCUACUCUCUCCUCCUCCCUUAUUCACUUGAAGCAACCUCUAUUUAUAGGGCAACAAUGAUCUUCAUUCCAUCUUCAUCUCCAUGUGAAUGUGAUUUUCAUCUUUCAAACUUCUCAAGCUUGAUAGCUAAAGUCUCC
rnacentral:lncRNA from 1 species